UUUUCUUCUUUGUCUCUCUCAUUUUUCUCCUUUCCUUCUUCAACUUUGAUUUUCCAAAUCAAACUCUACAAAACUUUUAGUAAGUGAAAAUCAAAUUCUUCUUUUAAGCUUGAAAGAUUUGGGCUUUCUUAAUCAAGGAAAACAAAGGUUCAUCCAAAGGCAAGGAAGUGGUAAGAGAAAAAGAAUAGGAUUACUUUGUUAUCCUAUAACUUCUGGUAAGUAUUUAAUAGACUAAACUUUGUGUAUAUUGAGUAGGGACUGCUGUUUGAUUAUUUGAUAAUUUCUUGGUUGACUGAGUUGAUAUUAGUUAUGUUUUUGGCUUGUUAUAAAGUGAAUUGAUUGUGAUGUGUUGUGAAGUGAAUUGAUUGUGAUGUGUUGUGAAGUGAAAUGAUUGUGAUUAAGGAUUGAUGACUUUUGUAUGGAUAUUGUGUGAUCGGGAAAGCUGAGCCGGGCGGAUAGCUACCCGAGUAUGUGAGAUGGC
rnacentral:lncRNA from 1 species